GGGUCACCUACCCCCUACCAAGCUCACCAAAUCAUUUAUAAAUCAUUUAUAAUAGUUUAGUAACUGAAUUAGUGGUGUAAUAUUACAUGUAAGCAACUUU